UCUUCGGCAAUGGACGAAAGUCUGACCGAGCAACGCCGCGUGUGUGAAGAAGGUUUUCGGAUCGUAAAACUCUGUUGUUAGCGAAGAAUGUUGAUUAGAGUGGAAAAUUAAUCAAGUUACGGUAUCUAACCAGAAAGGGACGGCUAACUACGUGCCAGCAGCCGCGGUAAUACGUAGGUCCCGAGCGUUGUCCGGAUUUCUUGGGCGUAAAGCGAGCGCAGGUGGUUUAAUAAGUCUGAUGUAAAAGGCAGUGGCUCAACCAUUGUGUGCAUUGGAAACUGUUAGACUUAAGUGCAGUAGAGGAGAGUGGAAUUCCAUGUGUAGCGGUGAAACGCGUAGAUAUAUAGAGGAACACCGGUGGCGAAAGCGGCUCUCUGGACUGUCACUGACACUGAGGCUCGAAAGCGUGGGUAGCAAACAGG
rnacentral:rRNA from 1 species